rnacentral:lncRNA from 1 species
CCUCUCCAGUCAGUCCUCCUGUGAAGACACCCGUGCCACUUCCAAAACAACUGAGGUUCCUUGUGCCAGAAGCGUCAGGCUCCCUGCCAACAGAACCGACUGCCAGAGGACCAGGUGAGCUUUUGCAUUUCAAAACAUUUUUUUAAUGGUUUAAUUUACAAUAUGGUACAUGCAGGACACAUGGCAGGAUCCAAACAUUUGGAUACGGCAGGAUUCUGUCUUAACAAGUACAACCCAGGGUCCAGAUGUCAGACAUGCUUCUCUGUUUUGUUGUAAUUAAUAAAAAUUCCAUGUUUGCAGCGCAACGUUCUUCCCUGGGGACAUCUACAGUGACGAGUCAGCGCCCGCUGCAGCCACCACCUACAAGCAGAGCUGAAAGCCAACCAUUGCCAUCUGCCUCUGGCUGUCCUCCUCCUCAGCUUCCUGGCUAUGACCACGACACACAGCAGUGGAACUGUUCACGCUUUCAGAGGGCCUGGAUGAAGAUGGAGCUGGAAUCACUGGGUCUCUGGCCAGGUUCCCUUCCUGUAAGCAACCCCAUGAAGAUGGUGUCACUGUGGCGUUUCCCACCCCAGCCUGAACUGAUAGACAGCAUAUCACAUUUUCCGUCGCCAUCGUACUUUCAGCUUCACCCGUUUUUCAUAUGGAAGCCGGAGAACGACAUUAUGGCACGGCUGAGGAACACCUACGCCUUGCCUUGUGUUAAAGGUUGUCUUCAGCCUCAGGUUACCUCUGCAGGUGUUGGCAGACCUCGUGUCAUUGUGGGACUCACUGGACAGUACUACCUGUUUUCAUCCAGGCUGUGCUGCAAAGUCUGCAAGAGAAGAUGGUUUGCGGACAAUCCACAGUGGCUGGAAAAGCUUCCAAAGAGGUUUACAAAUGUGUUGCCAGCAACGCUGACCUACAAGAAGGCCAUUUGUAAAUCAGUCAUGGACGAACUAAGACGCACUGGGAACUCCCCCACAGACAUAACAAAUCAAGUAAUGGAGGUAAUGCACCUUAAGUAUGAACGUGCCAACCUGGCUUACCUACUCAGCUGCCAGAACAUUAUGGAUGGUGAGUCUGGAAAGUACGGGCAACAAACCAUCACACAGUUCAUACGAAAGGAAACGAAACCAGCUCCUUUCGGCGAAUAUGGUGAUUCGGACGGCUGGAACGGGAUUUCUGUUUCGUCACACUACCUGAUUGACUGUCUACUGAGCGAGUACCAGCACCAGGAAGGAGCCAUCAACAAACUGCUGCAAGGCACUUUUGGACAUGCUUUCCGCUCAGACCACACCCGCAAGGUUGCACGCAAGGUCACCUUUUCAUCUGGAGCCAUGUCAUCAUAUGCAGUGAUGAAUGAACACUGGAUGAUCGUUUCAUGGGUGAUGGUACAGUCGGAGACAGAAAAGUCACUGAGGCCCAUGUACGAAGGACUGUCUAACCGGUACGACACUGCGGGCAUAGAGAAGGCCCGGUACCACUGGGUAGACAGGUAAGAAACCAUCAUCGUGACGCCACUGUGUACUGUUGCUUAAAAUGUCCAGUGAGAGAUACGGCUGCUUUAAUUGAUGUGUGUGUGUGUGUAUUUCUGUCAUCUUUCAGAGAUUGCUGUGCAGCCUUUAAGGUGGCCGAGUGUGCACAGGGAGAGCACCUACAGUGGGAAGCUUGGCAGACGUCUGAUGUGAUAACUGCUCAGGCCACUUCUGGGACUUUGCUGAAUGUCUGUGCAUCAAGGGCCUAUUACAACACGGCCAUAACCAUCAAACUGGAUCUGUUCCACUGCAUGCGCCGGUUCCUCCGUGAGUGCGUCUCAGAGCAUCAUCCCCUGUACAGUUCCUUUGCCCAGUUCCUGUCUGCAGCCUUCUCUGUGGUGGAUCAGGAAGACCUGCAGAGGCUGAAGGAUGCCUACACGUUUUGUGGCAUUCAACCUGCUAAUCCCACUAAACAGCACAUUCGUGAACACUGCAGGACCAAGAUUCCAGGGCCGGAUGAGUUAAUUCAGAGAGUGGAGGCGGUUUUGAAACACUUCUACCUCGCUGAAGAUCCAAAUGGGACUCGUCUGUUUAAGCCCUCUAUGUUAAAGGUGUGGCGGAUCCAGCGUGUGCACAUCCUGCGAGGUUGUCUGAGUGACCCAGAGGUGGAAGGUGGGAUCCUGUACAGACAUGGAGGAACGCUGCAGUUGAACCAUGUGAAGGGCGAAGGUGCCAAAGUUCCUGUUUGGAUCCCCAUCAGAGGCACAUCUCAGCAGGAGGGUUACCACUUCCACCAGGCUCAGUGGGUCACAGGAACAUGCGUUUCUCCAGAGCUGUUUCAGGCUCAAGGAAUGACUGGGGUGGCUCGAUGGAACUACCAGCGGCUUGUGGACUUGAAACAGCCAGGGGUUUCCCUCCCAGCUGCCUUUGACCCAGCUUUGAUUGCAGACCUCAAUGCAGCGUCUGGACGUGUGUUUGGGACUGUGAAGUAUCCUGCUCUUCAUCUGUGUGGCAAAGACACUGGGGAGAAGUUUGGCCUGGAGUACGUGGAGCCUGGUACCCGUCCUGUUCCUCUGCAGUGGGAUAAGCACAGGACCAAGACGGACUCAACACCUGCCCCAAGUCCACCUCCUCGGAGCAGUUCACCUGUGGCCCAGGCUGAAGCUCUACAAGGACCCCCCACCGCUUCACCAAAGCUGUUUUGUUUUUCACCACGUCCUCCGGUGGAACCUGCAGAUGAGACUCCAGCACCAGCAUGUGGGCCUGUCAAAGUUCAAGGUAAAAAAACAACACACAAUAGUGAUAAACAGAUAAUAUGUAUAUUUCAUUGCCGGGAACUGUGUUGUCACCUAUAUUGUAUACUAUAUACACAGGGGGUGAGGGACCCAAACGCGCAGCAGACAGUUCUCUAUUUGUGGUGGUUUAAUGCAGAUGCUUGGUCAGUACAGACAGGAAAUAGGCAAGACACGGUCAAAACAUGAUCCAGGACUGGUACACAAAGGGACUUACAAGGCAGAAACGCUGGAGAGUUGAUACCGGUAGGGUGAGCAGACAAUCUGGCAGGGAACUUGAGUGGAACAAGAGCUUAAGUACCAGGUUGAUUACAGAUUGGCUGCAGCUGAUGGCUCAUGUGAUAGAAUAAGUGAAACCAGGACCAAGACAGACAAGGACAAAACAGGAAGUGCCAAAAUAAGACCAGAAACUAAGCACCUAAAUAACACAAAAAGGCAAAAAAGUCCAUAGUCAUGACACAUAUGAGGGAAUAAAUAAGAAUAUAUGAAUGUUUAUCUGGGCCA